CUCAGAGCCAGGCGCAG
rnacentral:misc_RNA from 1 species